rnacentral:rRNA from 1 species
UACGUAGGUCCCGAGCGUUGUCCGGAUUUAUUGGGCGUAAAGCGAGCGCAGGUGGUUUAUUAAGUCUGGUGUAAAAGGCAGUGGCUCAACCAUUGUAUGCAUUGGAAACUGGUAGACUUGAGUGCAGGAGAGGAGAGUGGAAUUUCAUGUGUAGCGGUGAAAUGCGUAGAUAUAUGGAGGAACACCGGUGGCGAAAGCGGCUCUCUGGUCUGUAACUGACACUGAGGCUCGAAAGCGUGGGGAGCAAACAGG